rnacentral:lncRNA from 1 species
GUCUUCACCAUCACCUCGGACCUUCACCUCCAAUUCCUUCAGGCUUCCAGUGCGGACUCACACGAGACUGCAGAACGCUCCAGGCCUCUCCUUCGCCUGGAUGAUCCCGCCCUCCAACACACACCUCGCUCGACUCCUUGUGAGCCUACCUAGGGUCCGUGUUCCUGAUUAAAUCAUCAGUGUCUCUAGGGGCAUGCAGCGUAUCUGCCCGUGAACUGAG